AGAGUUUGAUCAUGGCUCAGGAUGAACGCUGGCGGCGUGCUUAACACAUGCAAGUCGAACGAACCUUCGGGUUAGUGGCGGACGGGUGAGUAACGCGUGAGAAUCUGCCCUCAGGAGGGGGAUAACGGCUGGAAACGGCCGCUAAUACCCCAUAUGCCGAGAGGUGAAACGAAAUUCGCCUGAGGAUGAGCUCGCGUCUGAUUAGCUAGUUGGUGGGGUAAGAGCCUACCAAGGCAUCGAUCAGUAGCUGGUCUGAGAGGAUGAUCAGCCACACUGGGACUGAGACACGGCCCAGACUCCUACGGGAGGCAGCAGUGGGGAAUUUUCCGCAAUGGGCGAAAGCCUGACGGAGCAACGCCGCGUGAGGGAUGAAGGCCUCUGGGCUGUAAACCUCUUUUAUCAAGGAAGAAGAUCUGACGGUACUUGAUGAAUAAGCCACGGCUAAUUCCGUGCCAGCAGCCGCGGUAAUACGGGAGUGGCAAGCGUUAUCCGGAAUUAUUGGGCGUAAAGCGUCCGCAGGCGGCCUUUUAAGUCUGUUGUCAAAGCGUGGAGCUUAACUCCAUUUCGGCAAUGGAAACUGGGAGGCUUGAGUGUGGUAGGGGCAGAGGGAAUUCCCGGUGUAGCGGUGAAAUGCGUAGAUAUCGGGAAGAACACCAGUGGCGAAGGCGCUCUGCUGGGCCAUAACUGACGCUCAUGGACGAAAGCCAGGGGAGCGAAAGGGAUUAGAUACCCCUGUAGUCCUGGCCGUAAACGAUGAACACUAGGUGUCGGGGGAAUCGACCCCCUCGGUGUCGUAGCUAACGCGUUAAGUGUUCCGCCUGGGGAGUACGCACGCAGGUGUGAAACUCAAAGGAAUUGACGGGGGCCCGCACAAGCGGUGGAGUAUGUGGUUUAAUUCGAUGCAACGCGAAGAACCUUACCAGGGUUUGACAUCCUGCGAAUCCCUUGGAAACUUGGGAGUGCCUUCGGGAGCGCAGUGACAGGUGGUGCAUGGCUGUCGUCAGCUCGUGUCGUGAGAUGUUGGGUUAAGUCCCGCAACGAGCGCAACCCACGUCUUUAGUUGCCAGCAUUGAGUUGGGCACUCUAGAGAGACCGCCGGUGAUAAACCGGAGGAAGGUGUGGAUGACGUCAAGUCAUCAUGCCCCUUACAUCCUGGGCUACACACGUACUACAAUGCUACGGACAAAGGGCAGCAAACUCGCGAGAGCUAGCAAAUCCCAUAAACCGUGGCUCAGUUCAGAUCGUAGGCUGCAACUCGCCUACGUGAAGGAGGAAUCGCUAGUAAUCGCAGGUCAGCAUACUGCGGUGAAUACGUUCCCGGGCCUUGUACACACCGCCCGUCACACCAUGGAAGUUGGCCACGCCCGAAGCCGUUACUCCAACCCUUGUGGAGGAGGACGUCGAAGGUGGGGCUGAUGACUGGGGUGAAGUCGUAACAAGGUAACC
rnacentral:rRNA from 1 species